rnacentral:lncRNA from 10 species
GGGCAGCCUGGAUGAUUCUAGGGGGGUAGGAAUUUUUUUUUUUUUUUUUUUUGAGACAGAGUCUCAUUCUGUUGCCCAGGCUGGAGCGCAGUGGCACAAUCUUGGCUCGCUGCAACCUCUGCCUCCCAGGUUCAAGCAAUUUUCCUGCCUCAGCCUCCUGAGUAGCUGGGAUUACAGGCACCCACCACCACGCCCAGCUGUUUUUUGUAUUUUUAGUAGAGACGGGGUUUCACCAUGUUGGC